AGAAGAGGACAUUUCACCCAGGGAUUCUGCAGUCAUAGUAUUUUAAAUUACCUAGUUCCUGUGAGCCUAAAUCCAGCCCACCAACAGUAACAAUCAUCUUCUACAAAUAAGGGCUUGACCAGAAGAUCCGAAUGGCCAUCUCCAGGGACCUGUGCCAAGCCAUCGGGCCGUUUUCCCUUCAUACCACUUUGCAACGGCAGGGCUGAGCAGGUUGCAGCACCCAGAUUAUAAAGUUGCAAGGAGUCAUCUGGGAGUCAUCGGAAUAUACUGCCUCCUACCAGGACCAGGAUAACCCGGCUCUACUCUUACCAAAGUCAAGGCCUGUUAUCGUUUGUGGUAAGUAUAUAACAAGAAUUAAACUUAGUAGAUUACUGAUUGGGUGGUUUCUAUUUCUUAUGGAAUGUAUUA